GCGCCAGACUCCUACGGGAGGCAGCAGUGGGGAAUAUUGGGCAAUGGAGGAAACUCUGACCCAGCAACGCCGCGUGAAUGAUGAAGGUCUUCGGAUUGUAAAUUUCUUUUCUAAGGGAAGAAGAAAGUGACGGUACCUUAGGAAUAAGCCUCGGCUAACUACGUGCCAGCAGCCGCGGUAAUACGUAGGAGGCAAGCGUUAUCCGGAAUGACUGGGCGUAAAGGGAGCGUAGACGGUGAAGUAAGUCUGGAGUGAAAGGCGGGGGCCCAACCCCCGGACUGCUCUGGAAACUAUUUGACUGGAGUGCAGGAGAGGUAAGCGGAAUUCCUAGUGUAGCGGUGAAAUGCGUAGAUAUUAGGAGGAACACCAGUGGCGAAGGCGGCUUACUGGACUGUAACUGACGUUGAGGCUCGAAAGCGUGGGGAGCAAACAGGAUUAGAUACCCGCGUAA
rnacentral:rRNA from 1 species